CUCUCAGGCACUGAACUCUGGGUCUGAGGCAGAACUAACACUUUUGUGCAGAGGGAUAUGUGCCACAGGAUGCUCUCCUGCCUGCUGUGCGUGUCGGUGGCCUUCAUCUACUCUGGAUUCAGUGUGGCCCAGAAAGUGACUCAAGUUCAGUCAGCCACAUCUGGUCAGGAGGGAGAAGCAGUCACCCUGGGCUGUUCCUAUGAAACAACUUGGAGUGGAUACUAUAUUUUUUGGUACAAACAACUUCCCAGUGGAAAGAUCAUUUUCCUUAUUCGUCAGAGCACUUCUGAUCCGAAUGAAAUCAAAGGUCGCUACUCUGUCCAGUUCCAGAAAGCAGCUAAAUUCAUCAGCCUUACCAUUUCACCCUUACAGCUGGAAGACUCAGCCAAAUAUUUCUGUGUUCUCUGGGAACUCACAGUGUUUGAAUUGAUAGUAAAAGCUAAACAAAAACUCAGGAGCUCCAUAGGAGAUGGGACCCCGCUAUAG